UGGGGGAUAUUGCACAAUGGGGGAAACCCUGAUGCAGCAACGCCGCGUGAAGGAUGAAGGUUUUCGGAUUGUAAACUUCUGUUCUUAGUGACGAUAAUGACGGUAGCUAAGAAGAAAGCUCCGGCUAACUACGUGCCAGCAGCCGCAGUAAUACGUAGGGAGCGAGCGUUGUCCGGAUUUACUGGGUGUAAAGGGUGCGUAGGCGGCAGAGCAAGUCAGGCGUGAAAGCCAUGGGCUUAACCCAUGAACUGCGCUUGAAACUGUUCUGCUUGAGUGAAGUAGAGGCAGGCGGAAUUCCCGGUGUAGCGGUGAAAUGCGUAGAGAUCGGGAGGAACACCAGUGGCGAAGGCGGCCUGCUGGGCUUUUAAACUGACGCUGAGGCACGAAAGCAUGGGUAGCAAACAGGAUUAGAUACCC
rnacentral:rRNA from 1 species